GUGUCUACUAAAGUUCAUGGCACCCCAGACGUUGGUUCUGGUCCUGGCCCUGGCCCAGUGCUAGUCUGGAUGCAAAGCAGCCAUUGUGAAGAACAUUGAUGAUGGUACCUCAGAUCAUCCCUACAGCCAUGCUCUCUCUUGUGACUGAAAUGGACUGCUAUUCCCACAAAGUGACAGCUGCCAUGGACAAGAAGAAAAUCGUCAAGAGGUCAAAGAUCAAUGUUUUGUGAAAGUUUAUAACUACAAUCACCUCAUGCCCACAGGGUACUCUGUGGACAUCCCCUUAGACAAAACUGUUAUCAUCAAAGGUAUCUUCAGAGACCCAACUUUAUACAUGCUACUUGUCAGUGUUUAUUCAGGAAUCUCUUUGUAGCUAUUGUGAAGGAUUUGUCCAGCAUUAAAACUGAGUAAAGAUAAAUAAGCAUUGCUUUGUAAGUUCAUUACAACCUAAAUUAAAAAUGAAUACAAUGG